rnacentral:sRNA from 1 species
AUGUACCCACGUACACUCCGGUUCCUGCGCGCCGCCCGCACCCACCUGACGGCUGCUCGCUACGUUUUGUUAGCC